AAGCACGGUAGGAAUGUUUAUUGGAAUUUGUUUCAAAUAUAGACAUCAAUUAUAGGGAAAAAUACAACGAUUCUGUACAAUAGAUCUGAACAUCACGAGCAGAAUAAAGAGCCGACCCUGUUAAAAUGUCUCAUUCUGUGAGACUGCAGCUUCCAGACACGGUUAUCACACAGUAUUGCCUUAGAAGAUCAAACACGGCAUCACGUUUAUAGAUGAAUACCAUCAACUGCAUCAUAAAGACUGACAAUCAAGCGUGCAAAGUUUGGAAAAAAACAUCAAACGUGAUAUCAAAACUAAACUAGGCUAAAAGGUCGAAUUUAAAAAAGCUUAAAAAGAAGAUGCUAAUUGAACAACUUGAUACAAAACAAUUCAAACAACUGACAUACAGUUUAAUACAUUUCAAAGUGAGAUUUUGAUUAUAUAUCUAAAGUGGAAUGCAGGCAGAAGACUUUCUAAAGCUAGAAAUUAAUGAAAUAAUCUCUCUCACACAAUCUCAGCAUGAAAACAACUGACCCUUUUUACUUCCUUAAUACACAUUUCUGGUUACAUUUUGAAUAAUUUAUCUGUGCGUGUUUUUUUGAAAUAAUAUGCUUUUUAUUUUUGGCAGACAUCACAAAUGCCUUUUCCUCCCUCCAGUCAAUCAGUUCACAUUGAAUAAAUGAACGAAUGACAUUUAUUCUCUCACACUCAGAAACGCGUCACAUUAUUCACCCGAACUCAAUCCUUUUAGGGGCCCGAGAGGACAUUGUUGCCAUGGUAACCGCUCUCACCACAGAUGCCUCCCUGUGAAGUUUGGAGGGGCGGUUGGGAUCUGGAACAUAAAGCGUGAGGGCCAUCUCGGUGGGCUGGUAAACGUGACUGCGGAACGGCACAGCGGGACGUAUCAAUCCGUUAUGAUAACCAGUCUGCA